UACAGAGGGGGCAAGCGUUGUUCGGAAUUACUGGGCAUAAAGGGCGCGUAGGCGGCCUGUUAAGUCGAACGUGAAAUCCCCGGGCUCAACCCGGGAACUGCGUCCGAUACUGGCAGGCUUGAAUCCGGGAGAGGGAUGCGGAAUUCCAGGUGUAGCGGUGAAAUGCGUAGAUAUCUGGAGGAACACCGGUGGCGAAGGCGGCAUCCUGGACCGGCAUUGACGCUGAGGCGCGAAAGCCAGGGGAGCAAACGGG
rnacentral:rRNA from 1 species